AUUGAACGCUGGCGGCAUGCCUAACACAUGCAAGUCGAGCGGAGCGGCGGACGGGUGAGUAAUGCCUAGGUAUCUGCCUGGCAGUGGGGGAUAACGUCCGGAAACGGGCGCUAAUACCGCACAUUAUCACAUGACCCUAGGUCGGAUUAGCUGGUUGGGGGGGUAAAGGCCUACCAAGGCGACGAUCGGUAACUGGUCUGAGUGGAUGAUCAGUCACACUGGAACGGAGACACGGUCCAGACUCCUACGGGAGGCAGCAGUGGGGAAUAUUGGACAAUGGGCGAAAGCCUGUACCAGCCAUGCCGCGUGUGUGAAGAAGGUCUUCGGAUUGUAAAGCACUUUAAGUUGGGAGGCGUUACCCGCAGAAGAAGCACCGGCUAACUCCGUGCCAGCAGCCGCGGUAAUUC
rnacentral:rRNA from 1 species